GCGGUCAUGGCGGAAUGGCAGACGCGCCAGCUUGAGGGGCUGGUGGGGGUAACCCCGUGGAAGUUCGAGUCUUCUUGGCCGCA
rnacentral:tRNA from 1 species